CAAGAGUGCCAUUUGAGAGGUAUUCAUGUGCUAGCAGGAACUCCUUAUGAUGAAAGGCACAACCAUGAAAUGACACCAGAUUCUUAUGAGGUAUUGCAGGUCAACAAAAGGAAAGAUCUUCUAAGACCAAUAAUGCAGCAAGCAAUAUUUCAGGCAUAUCAGCAUUCAUUGAGGAAAAUCUCCUAUUACCGGAUCGUGACUAACAAUUCUAAGCUAGGUUGAGCUUAGGUGUUAAGAGUCCGGUUUGAACUUUUUGAUUGGUGUUUGUAAUAUAUUUGAUUAUAGUGAAAAUUUCACCAUAGUUUGUGGUGAAGAUUGGAUGUAGGUCUCAUUGCCUAUGGAGACUGAACCAGGAUAUAUGGUUGUCUCAUCUUCUUCCCUCAUCUUUGUUAGUGUCAUUUCGAUGCAAGACAAAAACGAAAAUAAUCUCCUGUAUUAUUGAUUUACUGCUCUAACAAUUUUAAAGUAUUAUAUUUCCUUUGAUUUCUUGACUCAACCCCCUUCUUAAGGCUUAGGGAAACCUUCACUAAGUAUUGAUGCGACAAAGUUUUAUGUUGGUUGUCUUCAGCCUAACACAACCCUACAUGGAUUCAAAGACAGCCUUGCAUCAUGGCUAUAUUUUGGGAUGCGACAAAGUUUUAUCUAAGCUGUUGGAGGCCUAACACAACUCUACCAGGAUCCAAAGACAUGUCGAGUUUCUUUCGUACGUGUGAUGUGUAUGCUACAUAUUGAGAGUGAAACACUGAGAUGACUAGUACCCUAUUAACCAUUCAAUGAGAUAUAGACUCAACUUAUAUUGUAUUCACAUCUCAUCUGAUAGUGAACAAUGGAGAACUGAGAAUGUAAAACCAUGUAGGUGCAUAUAACAACUAUUCCUUAUUCUCU